rnacentral:misc_RNA from 1 species
AUCUAAACAGUUCAUAUGAUACCCUUGCUAUGCUUGGUUUCAUGGUUUCUCACUUUCUCUUUCUUUAAUUAUUUAAUUAAUAUAUAUAAUAAUACAAGCAUCUCCGAUGGCGGAUUCUUUUUGCAUUACUCCAUUGCUUAUUUGCUUUCUACAUAAGGCACUGUUUCUUCGCCGGAAAAAUCGUUACAUAAUCCAUUUCUCGAGUUAAUUGGGAAAUCAAUCUAAUUCCUUUGAUUGAUUCGAUGAUGCGAUUUUUUGGGAUUUUUGUUUGGAGAGACGCUAUCUGAGUGUAGUAAUAGAAAGAGGUGAAGUGAAAUACGAAGAGACAGAUGGAUAUAACGGAGAUAUCGAUAAUCCAUCAUGUGGGCAUUGUACUGUUUUUGCUUUGGUUGCUUUCUUUCUUCAAUCGAUGCCACCCAGUUGCCUUCUUCAUUUCUUUGAUAUAUCUUUUUGCGGUUCACGAGAGGUAUGUUAUGAGAUUGAGGAGGAAAUUGCAGUUCCAUGAAAGAAAGCAAGCCAAUCAGAAAAGAGUGCUCUCUGAUUCUGAAACUGUUCGUUGGUUGAACCAUGCUGUGGAAAAGAUAUGGCCCAUUUGUAUGGAGAAUAUUGUAUCGCAGAAGAUUCUACUCCCAAUUAUACCUUGGUUCUUGGACAAGUAUAAGCCAUGGACCGCUAAAAAGGCUGUGGUUCAACACAUGUAUUUGGGAAGAAACCCGCCAAUGUUCACAGAAAUGAGGGUUCUUCGCCAAUGUUCCAGUGAUGACCACUUGGCAUUGGAAUUGGGAAUGAACUUUUGCACGGCAGAUGAUAUGAGUGCAGUACUUGCUGUCAAGUUAAGGAAAAGGCUGGGAUUUGGAAUGUGGGCAAAGUUGCAUAUGACAGCCAUGCAUGUUGAAGGGAAGGUAUGAAGCUUCAACUCAUUGAAUUCCAUGACUGAUAUAUGUUAGUAAAAUACAGCAUGGACUAAUUCACAGUAAUCAGAUAUCUAUAUGUGUGUGUAGUUCUGAUCCCAAAAGGAGGAGGAUGGUGGGUAAGGUGAGUGACAAUGCUUGCAUUCAAAAUCAAGCAAUUGCAAAAUUCUCUCUUGUGAAUGAAAUUUUACCUUAUCGUACAAAAAGCAUCUUAAAGUAUAUGUAUAUCAUGAAGAAAUUUUCUUUUCUUUUUGUGCUCUACUUGUGCCUUUUAUUUUUACAAGGUUUUCAAUUUGGAAAGUUUGGAACAUUUCAUUUUCAUAUCUAAUGUCUGCAGAGUUAUCUUUUUCUUGAGUCUCGUUUUUAAUUUUUGAGGACUGAAGUGUAUUAUAUAUUUUAUAUGUUGUAUCUGUAUGACUUUUUAGUCUUUGACAAAUGGUGAUAACUUCUGUUUCAUAAGCAUAAAUAUCAAAAGGGAAAGAGUUCCUUGUAAGCCAUGGCAUAACUUACAUGCUUUUGUUAUCAGUUAUUGUACUUCUGCUGGAACUUUAGAGCAUUCUUUGGUUAUAUAUAGCUUUACCUCACAUGAGGUAUCUCCAUUUUUUGCAUUAUUUUAUUAUUUGCUAAUUUUAGGACGCCUGAACAUAAUCUUUAAUAUCGUUAGUUUUGUAUCUGAAUACAUGAACAUGCUUUAGAAGAAACUUUCUUGCUUUUUGUUCCAUUUUUUUAAUUUUUUAACUUAUAUUGAGGGUAUUACUGACUAAGCUGUUCCAUGGUAACAUGCCUCUUUCUUUGGCAAAUUGCAUAUUGGAAAUAGAGAAUUGGAUGGCAUUAAUUCAUUUACUUGAGGAUAUUAGAGCACGUGGAAUUCUGGAUCUUCUGUGUCUCACAUGAAACCUGAAAUGUUCUGCAUUCCUUUCUUAUUUGGAAUAUGAAAUUCUUGCAAUGGAUGAUGAACUUUCUAUUCCAUGAUGUGACAUUAUUUAGAUCCCCCCUCCCCGUCUCCUUCGAAAGCACCACUUCAAUUGCCAUUUCAAGCAAAUUACUGCAACCUGACUAGUGUUAUUUUCACUUUAAUUGAUUCCCAUCCGAUUUAGGUCUUGAUUGGAGUGAAGUUCCUUCGCCACUGGCCUUUCCUUGGCCGUUUGAGGGUAUGCUUUGCUGAGCCACCUUAUUUCCAAAUGACUGUCAAACCCAUCUUCACUCAUGGGCUUGAUGUUACUGAACUUCCAGGAAUUGCUGGAUGGCUAGACAAGCUUCUGUCAGUUGCUUUUGAGCAGACACUCGUUCAGCCCAACAUGCUAGUUGUGGAUGUGGAGAAAUUUGCUUCAGCAGAGCCAGAAAGUUGGUUCUCUGUGGAUGAGAAACAACCCAUUGCUUAUGCCAAAGUUGAAGUUGUGGAAGCAUCUGACAUGAAACCAUCUGACUUAAAUGGUUUGGCUGAUCCAUACGUUAAAGGACAACUUGGCCCUUACAAAUUCAGGACGAAGAUACAAAGGAAAACUCUGGCUCCAAAAUGGCAUGAGGAAUUCAAUAUCCCCAUUUGCACAUGGGAUUUGCCUAAUGUGCUAGCUAUUGAAGUUCGUGAUAAGGACCAUUUUGUUGAUGAUUCUCUUGGGUUUGUCUAUUCUCCACAUGAUAAGACUAUGGUUAAAUGGUUAUAUUUUCAUUGUUAAGAUCAAAGGCAAUAUAGCUUCUUUUUUUUUUUUUGUCCCUAUGGUGGUUCAAGUUUCACAUUAUUCUAUCUUCCAUGAUAUAAUUUCCAUGUAUCUUAUCUGCUAUUUUUUACAGGGAUUGUACCGUUAGCAUCAAUGAUCUUAGAGAUAGUGAGAGACAUGACAUGUGGUUGCCACUCCAGAAAAUUAAAAUGGGGAGACUGCAUCUCGCAAUAACUGUUAUUGAAGAAAAUAUAAAGGGGGGUGCUAAUUUUUUUCAUGGAGAAACAUUGAGCAAGGGAGAAAUGAGAGAUUCCUUUGUAAGUGAGACUGCAAACAAAGCUUCCUUCUCAUCAUCCGCAACAUCAGAUAAGUCUUCAAGAGUGCUAGAUAAUUUUGAGCCUAUCAACAUUGAAGGGCAACAAGAAACUGGGAUAUGGGUUCAUCAACCUGGAAGUGAAGUGUCACAAACUUGGGAGCCUAGAAAAGGGAAGAGUAAGCGCCUUGAUAAUCAAGUGGAUGGAGUUCCUGGUGAUUCAUUUGGUAGAACUCAUUCAACAACUUCCGGACCCCUUAACAAUGAGAGUAGCAGUGCUGAUGAAAACACAGAGGGUAAAAGUCCAAUGAACAAAGUCCGGCAGGGUUUACAUAAGAUUAGUUCAGUAUUUCAUAGAGGUACUAAAAAUGAGGAAAGUUUGGGCAGCAAUGAGGAGACUGUUCAAUCUCCUUAUGCUAACAUUAAAGCAGUUAAUCAGAAGGAGAUUGGUGUGAAUUUCAUAGUGGAAGACAGCCUUCCUAAGCCCACAGUGGUUAAGAAUGCAAAAGAAGUUAUCUUGAGUCCUGAGGGAAGUGGGUCAGAAAGUCCAGGGAAGGGAAAUGUCAAAGACAAGGCGAAGAGUUUUUUAAAACGUGCUGAGAAGUCUGCUCGCAACAUAAAGCAUGUGCUUUCCCGAAAAAGGUCAAGAAAACCUCGAAGUGGUGUAUCUGAUGUAACAGAACUAGAAAUAUCUCUUGAGUCUGAUUCUUCUGAUGAUGAAUCUCAUACAUCCCCUGAAGUUCAAAGAAUCCCAGUCGUUUCCAGUUCCACAUCCUCCAGUUAUGGCAGUGACCAUUAUGAUAAAAUCAAGGAGAAUGUUGUCGAGGCUGGUUCAAGUGAGUUCGCAGUGGAUGCUGAGGACCAAAUGAAGGUAAAUGUGGAAGGCCUGGGGAGAAUAGACGAGAACGAGGUGGCCAACUCUAAUGGUGGUAAUGGUAAUGGACUGGAGGAGUUGUCAAAACCUCAGCAAACUGAAAAGAAAUUGGAUGGUAAUGGACCAGAGGAGUUCACAAACUCUCGGGUGUCUGAAGAGAAAUUGGAAGGAGAGAUGGGGUCAGAUGCUGAAAAUAUUCAUAAUACAAGUUUGGGAUAGUCUUAGUACAGCAAAACAGGGUAUGGUAUGAGUACUUAUGAUUUUAUAUUUUUUUAAUUACUUGUGUAAUAAUUUUCAUGAAUGUGAAGUAGUUUGUACUUUAUAGAAGCAAUUUCAUUUUGUAAAUUUCCCGGAGUUUUUCCUAGGUUGUGUUAAGAUGAAAUUGUACUCGGAAAUUCUCUCAAUACAAGGAGUCUACCUUCGCUUAGAACUUUCUCUGUGUAGGUGAAUUGACCUUUUU